CGGAUGGGUGAGUAACACGUGGGCAACCUGCCUAUAAGAMUGGGAUAACUUGCGGAAACGUGAGCUAAUACCGGAUAAUUCCUCUUGUUACCUAAUAAGAGGGUAAAAGGCGGCUUUUAGCUGUCACUUAUAGAUGGGCCUGCGGCGCAUUAGCUAGUUGGUGAGAUAAAAGCUCACCAAGGCAACGAUGCGUAGCCGACCUGAGAGGGUGAUCGGCCACACUGGGACUGAGACACGGCCCAGACUCCUACGGGAGGCAGCAGUAGGGAAUCUUCCGCAAUGGACGAAAGUCUGACGGAGCAACGCCGCGUGAACGAAGAAGGUUUUCGGAUCGUAAAGUUCUGUUGUUAGGGAAGAACCCGUACCAUUCGAAUAGGAUGGUACCUUGACGGUACCUAACGAGAAAGCCCCGGCUAACUACGUGCCAGCAGCCGCGGUAAUACGUAGGGGGCAAGCGUUGUCCGGAAUUAUUGGGCGUAAAGCGCUCGCAGGCGGUUCUUUAAGUCUGAUGUGAAAUCUUGCGGCUCAACCGUAAGCGGUCAUUGGAAACUGGAGAACUUGAGGACAGAAGAGGAGAGUGGAAUUCCACGUGUAGCGGUGAAAUGCGUAGA
rnacentral:rRNA from 1 species